AAGUAUGAAGUAAUUUUUACAUUUAGUUUCGACCUAAAAAAUAGAGAAUAUUUCUCCUUACUUA
rnacentral:tRNA from 3 species